CCUACGGGAGGCUGCAGUGGGGAAUAUUGGACAAUGGGGGCAACCCUGAUCCAGCCAUGCCGCGUGUGUGAAGAAGGCCCUCGGGUUGUAAAACACUUUCAGUGAGGAAGAACGCCUGGUGGUUAAUACCCAUCAGGAAAGACAUCACUCACAGAAGAAGCACCGGCUAACUCCGUGCCAGCAGCCGCGGUAAUACGGAGGGUGCGAGCGUUAAUCGGAAUUACUGGGCGUAAAGCGCGCGUAGGUGGCUUGAUAAGCCGGUUGUGAAAGCCCCGGGCUCAACCUGGGAACGGCAUCCGGAACUGUCAAGCUAGAGUGCAGGAGAGGAAGGUAGAAUUCCCGGUGUAGCGGUGAAAUGCGUAGAGAUCGGGAGGAAUACCAGUGGCGAAGGCGGCCUUCUGGACUGACACUGACACUGAGGUGCGAAAGCGUGGGUAGCAAACAGGAUUAGAUACCCGGGUAGUC
rnacentral:rRNA from 1 species